UGCAGGAGCCUCGUGGAGUCUAUCAUCACUCUUGGCCUCGAUUUCGCAAUUUAGCUCGCAGCCCACUUCAGAACAGUCUCAACUAAAGGAACAGUAGUGCAGUGAGCAAACUCAAAGGAGGAAAUCUGGAACUUUUGGCCUGGUGUAUGCACGGAGACCAGAUGGCCGACAGGUUAAAUUUCUAGAGUGAGACUUGGUAGAAAAAACAGAGCACUUAAACAAAAUUUUUAUUGGAGUAGAAG